rnacentral:rRNA from 1 species
UGGGGAAUAUUGCACAAUGGGCGAAAGCCUGAUGCAGCAACGCCGCGUGAGUGAUGAAGGUCUUCGGAUUGUAAAGCUCUGUCUUUUGGGACGAUAAUGACGGUACCAAAGGAGGAAGCCACGGCUAACUACGUGCCAGCAGCCGCGGUAAUACGUAGGUGGCGAGCGUUGUCCGGAUUUACUGGGCGUAAAGGGUGCGUAGGCGGAUGUUUAAGUGAGAUGUGAAAUACCCGGGCUUAACUUGGGUGCUGCAUUUCAAACUGGAUAUCUAGAGUGCAGGAGAGGAGAAUGGAAUUCCUAGUGUAGCGGUGAAAUGCGUAGAGAUUAGGAAGAACACCAGUGGCGAAGGCGAUUCUCUGGACUGUAACUGACGCUGAGGCACGAAAGCGUGGGUAGCAAACAGGAUUAGAUACCCUGGUAGUCCACGCCGUAAAACGAUGAGUACUAGGUGUAGGAGGUAUCGACCCCUUCUGUGCCNCAGUAAACACAUUAAAGUACUCCGCCUGGGAAGUACGAUCGCAAGA